rnacentral:tRNA from 2 species
GUCCCCUUCGUCUAGUGGUUAGGACGCCAGAUUUUCAUUCUGGAAACAGGGGUUCGACUCCCCUAGGGGAUGCCA